UACGAAGGGUGCAAGCGUUAAUCGGAAUUACUGGGCGUAAAGCGUGCGCAGGCGGUUUCUUAAGUCAGAUGUGAAAGCCCCGGGCUUAACCUGGGAACUGCGUUUGAAACUGGGAGACUUGAGUGUGGCAGAGGGGGGUGGAAUUCCACGUGUAGCAGUGAAAUGCGUAGAUAUGUGGAGGAACACCAAUGGCGAAGGCAGCCCCCUGGGUCAACACUGACGCUCAUGCACGAAAGCGUGGGGAGCAAACAGG
rnacentral:rRNA from 1 species